GUGCCAGCAGCCGCGGUAACACCAGCGCCACAAGUGGUGGCCUUGAUUAUUUGGUCUAAAGCGUCCGUAGCAGGUUUAGCAAAUCUCUUGUGAAAUUGUUGGGCUUAACUUAACAACGUGCAGGANACACUACUAAACUUGAGACUGGGAGGGGUUAGAGGUAUUUCUGGGGGAGCGGUAAAAUGCUAUAAUCCCAGAAGGACCACCUAUGGCGAAGGCAUCUAACCAGAACAGUUCUGACUGUGAGGGACGAAGGCCAGGGGAGCAAACCGGAUUAAAUACCCGAGUACUCCUGGCAGUAAACUCUG
rnacentral:rRNA from 1 species